CAGGCCUAACACAUGCAAGUCGAACGAGACCUUCGGGUCUAGUGGCGCACGGGUGCGUAACGCGUGGGAAUCUGCCCUUGGGUUCGGAAUAACAGCGAGAAAUUGCUGCUAAUACCGGAUGAUGACGUAAGUCCAAAGAUUUAUCGCCCAAGGAUGAGCCCGCGUAGGAUUAGCUAGUUGGUGGGGUAAAGGCCCACCAAGGCGACGAUCCUUAGCUGGUCUGAGAGGAUGAUCAGCCACACUGGGACUGAGACACGGCCCAGACUCCUACGGGAGGCAGCAGUGGGGAAUAUUGGACAAUGGGCGCAAGCCUGAUCCAGCAAUGCCGCGUGAGUGAUGAAGGCCUUAGGGUUGUAAAGCUCUUUUACCCGGGAAGAUAAUGACUGUACCGGGAGAAUAAGCUCCGGCUAACUCCGUGCCAGCAGCCGCGGUAAU
rnacentral:rRNA from 1 species